rnacentral:rRNA from 1 species
GACAGAGGGUGCAAACGUUGUUCGGAAUUACUGGGCGUAAAGCGUGUGUAGGCGGCUCUGUGUGUCAGGUGUGAAAGCCCCGGGCUCAACCUGGGAAGUGCACUUGAAACUGCAGAGCUUGAGUAUCGGAGAGGUUGGUGGAAUUCUCGGCGGAGAGGUGAAAUUCGUAGAUAUCGGGAAGAACACCAGUGGCGAAGGCGGCCAACUGGACGAAUACUGACGCUGAGACACGAAAGCGUGGGGAGCAAACAGG